rnacentral:rRNA from 1 species
CCNUNNGGGGCGCAGCAGGCGCGAAANCUUCACANUGUGNGAAAGCACGAUGAGGGAAUCCCAAGUGCUGGCUCGUAAGAGUCAGCUGUUUUUCUGUCUAGAAAACAGAGAGAGUAAGAGCUGGGUAAGACGGGUGCCANCCGCCGCGGUAAUACCNGCAGCUCAAGUGGUGGCCGCUAUUAUUGGGCCUAAAACGUUCGUAGCCGGUNUAGUAAAUGCCUGGGUAAAUCAUACGGCUUAACCGUACGAAUUCCGGGUAGACUGCUGGACUUGGGACUGGGAGAGGCUAGAGGUACUCCUGGGGUAGAGGUGAAAUCCNGUAAUCC